UCAUGUUACAGGCUUAGCUGUCAAGAGAAUGGGGAAAGCAUUUUGCUAAAACCAAUGUCUUCACAUCAGAAAAAUGGCAGGAUGAACAUGAUUAUGCAGGUUUUGGAUGAGAAAUAGCUGGGCAAAACUGAAGUGAUGCUGGUUGGUGAACUGAAAUAAAAAGUUGGUUGAAUAUCAUCUCAGCCUCUCCAUUGAAGCAAAGACUGCUCCUUCAUGCUCAGCUCCAGUUUUCAGGGCACUGGUAUGUCCAGCUGGCCCGUGUUUCCAGACUCAGUAACAAGUCAGAAGAAGCGGUGGAAGCACUCGUCUGGUUCUGCCUCUGCUGAUAAAGGACCUUGGCAGUGAUGGGUUUUGGGUGGCACUUAAGGUUAGCGCUCCAGCUAAUGUUUGUGCGUCCAGGUAAACUGAGGUUCAUCACAUCAAAUGUAAGUAGGUCCACUGCCUUAUUAGAGCAACAGGCCCAUAUUCCUCCCUAGCUCAGUUGCUGGAGCCAUUUUUUUUUUGUCAAGAAAGACUGGAUGGGGAAGGAGAGGACUGUAUGUGAAGUGGUAGAGAGGACAUGCCUGUCUGUGCAUCACAAAAAUCAGUUAUAGAGCUGUAUAACCUGAAAGAUGCAGCAAACACUUGAGUCCUCCUCUCUGUUCCCACCUAGGUCUUACACAAUAGGGUUGAUGUAGUGUAGAGUGGGUAUAAGAAAAUUGAGUAGUAGGAAUAAGAGUUAACUGUCUCAUGAUGUGGGUAUAAACAGAUUAAAUACAAUUUUAAGUACGUACUCCAAAUACUGCGCUUACAUAGCAAGACGCUCUUUGAGUUUUGAAAGACGAGAAUGUUUCCCCAUAGACACAAGACAUAUCACCCUCAGAAACCUGAUUUAUACCUAGGCUGGAUAAGCCUGUGGAC